UACGUAGGGUGCGAGCGUUGUCCGGAAUUACUGGGCGUAAAGAGCUCGUAGGUGGUUUGUCGCGUUGUUCGUGAAAACUCACAACUCAAUUGUGGGCGUGCGGGCGAUACGGGCAGACUGGAGUACUGCAGGGGAGACUGGAAUUCCUGGUGUAGCGGUGGAAUGCGCAGAUAUCAGGAGGAACACCGGUGGCGAAGGCGGGUCUCUGGGCAGUUCCUGACGCUGAGGCACGAAGGUCAGGGGAGCAAACGGG
rnacentral:rRNA from 1 species